CCUACGGGAGGCAGCAGUGAGGAAUAUUGGUCAAUGGUCGGGAGACUGAACCAGCCAAGCCGCGUGAGGGAGGAAGGUACAGAGUAUCGUAAACCUCUUUUGUCAGGGAACAAAGGCGGGGACGUGUCCCCGGAUGAGUGUACCUGAAGAAAAAGCAUCGGCUAACUCCGUGCCAGCAGCCGCGGUAAUACGGAGGAUGCGAGCGUUAUCCGGAUUUAUUGGGUUUAAAGGGUGGGCAGGCGGUCUGUUAAGUCAGCGGUAAAAGCCCGGGGCUCAACCCCGGCCCGCCGUUGACACUGGCAGUCUCGAGUUGGAGAGAAGUAUGCGGAAUGCGCGGUGUAGCGGUGAAAUGCAUAGAUAUCGCGCAGAACUCCGAUUGCGAAGGCAGCAUGCCGGCUCCACACUGACGCUGAGGCACGAAAGCGUGGGUAUCGAACAGGAUUAGAUACCCCUGUAGUC
rnacentral:rRNA from 1 species